GACGAACGCUGGCGGCGUGCCUAAUACAUGCAAGUAGAACGCUGAAGGAGGAGCUUGCUUCUCUGGAUGAGUUGCGAACGGGUGAGUAACGCGUAGGUAACCUGCCUGGUAGCGGGUGAUAACUAUUGGAAACGAUAGCUAAUACCGCAUAAUAGUAGAUGUUGCAUGACAUUUGCUUAAAAGGUGCAAUUGCAUCACUACCAGAUGGACCUGCGUUGUAUUAGCUAGUUGGUGGGGUAACGGCUCACCAAGGCGACGAUACAUAGCCGACCUGAGAGGGGGAUCGGCCACACUGGGACUGAGACACGGCCCAGACUCCUACGGGAGGCAGCAGUAGGGAAUCUUCGGCAAUGGACGGAAGUCUGACCGAGCAACGCCGCGUGAGGGAAGAAGGGUUUCGGAUCGUAAAGCUCGGUUGUAAGAGAAGAACGAGUGUGAGAGUGGAAAGUUCACACUGUGACGGUAUCUUACCAGAAAGGGACGGCUAACUACGUG
rnacentral:rRNA from 1 species